UACGUAGGGGGCAAGCGUUGUCCGGAUUUAUUGGGCGUAAAGAGCGUGUAGGCGGCCAUGUAGGUCCGUUGUGAAAACUCGAGGCUCAACCUCGAGACGCCGAUGGAAACCAUGUGGCUAGAGUCCGGAAGGGGAGACUGGAAUUCCUGGUGUAGCGGUGAAAUGCGCAGAUAUCAGGAGGAACACCGAUGGCGAAGGCAGGUCUCUGGGCCACUACUGACGCUGAGAAGCGAAAGCAUGGGGAGCGAACAGG
rnacentral:rRNA from 1 species